rnacentral:lncRNA from 1 species
UGCAAAGCACGAGAGAUGAAAAGAUACAGCUGCAAAUAACUGGCAGGUAACGAAUAUCAGUGCAUCCCAAUAAUAAUUUUAAGUACAUAGUUUGACCGUGUCUUGCGUACCAGAGCAAAACAUAACAGUAUACGAAGGAAAUCACGGGUAAGUCAAUGGCACAACAACGAGAAUUUAGCUAUAUAAGUCGUCAUCUUCAGCUGCUGCGGCAGCGGAUGCAAAAGGGUCGGCGGCAGCAGCAGAGGCGGCGCCUGCGGCCGGUUGAUCAGGGAACCGGAACUCGCUGCCGAAACCACGAGACUGCUGCAGAGUCUGCGCAAAGGCCUGGUACUUGCGGAUGUCGGCAUCGCUCACACUCCUGCGUGCAUACUUCAUCGACUCCUCAAAGUGAGCAGCCCUGAUCUCAGCGACCUCGUCCACCUCAUCCUCCUCCAUGGCUUCAGGGUUGUCCUUCCUCCGCCUCUCCCUCUCAAUGUCCUGGAAGGAUGAGUUUCAUUAGACAACCAAGUAUAAAAACAGAGCUGGCAGAAAACUAAAUACCGCAGGUCAAUUCACAGAAAAUUGCUGGUACCUUCUCAAUGUUCUCCCUGAUGGCGUAUUUGCAAGCACGCUGGCAAAUUUCCGUGAUAUCAGCACCGCUGAACCCUUGGGUGUACUUGGCAAGAGCACUCAGAUCAAUAUCCUUGGCCAAAGGAGACUUCCUGAGGCAGGCUUUGAAGAUCUGGUGCCUCGACUCGACAUCAGGAAGAGGGAUGUAGAUAAGCUGAUCAAGACGCCCUGGCCUAAGCAAGGCAGGGUCUAUGAUGUCCGGCCUGUUGGUAGCACCAAUGAUGAAGACAGUUUUCUUGGCGUUCAUGCCAUCCAUCUCAGUCAGCAGCUGGUUCAGCACUCUAUCAGCUGCACCUCCAGCAUCCCCAACACUGCUUCCUCUCUGUAAUAUCAUGGUUAAGAGUUAUCAGCCAUUAAGAAAUACAACAGUGAAACAUAGUAACAGGGAGGGGGAGAGAGGCUGACCUGGGUAGCAAUGGAGUCAAGCUCAUCAAAGAAGAGGACACAUGGUGCUGACCCCCUAGCCUUGUCAAAGAUCUCACGCACAUUAGCCUCACUCUCACCAAACCACAUGGUAAGCAGCUCAGGUCCCUUGAUACUGAUGAAGUUCGCCUGGCACUCAUUUGCAAUUGCCUUGGCCAACAAGGUUUUACCACAGCCAGGAGGGCCAUAGAAAAGAACACCUUUGGAAGGAGACAUGCCAAACUUCUCGAAUUUCUCUGGAUGCUCCACAGGGUAUUGGACAGUCUGCAACAAUUUCAUAUAUAUGUUAUACACAAGUUACAGCUAGAACACAGCAAAGUUAAGAAUAUUUUUGAUAAACUAAAGAGCAGUAAUAUACCUCCUGCAACUCCCGCUUGACAUUCUCCAGACCACCAAUAUCUUCCCAAGAGACAUUGGGAACUUCAACAACCUGAUUUACAAAAGAUAAAUAGAAGGUAAGACCUUCAAAACAUGUUCAAACAAUAUAAAAUGGACAUGGGACAUAGUGUCAAGUACUUACAGUUUCACGGAGAGCAGAUGGGUUGCUUGUCGUUAGUGCAGUCUUGAAAUGGUCGUUUGUCACAGCCAUAGAAUUCAGUAUCUCAGCAUCUAUGGUCUCAUCCUCAAGAUCUAUAAUAUCCAUCUUCUCGCGAAUGCACUGAAGAGCAGCCUCAGUACAAAGAGCAGCAAGAUCAGCACCAACAUACCCAUGGGUGUCUCGUGAAAUGUGUUCCAGCUCAACCUGCAAUACAUUAGAAAGCACAAUGACGAACAGGUUCAAUCAAACGAGAAAGUUAAAAGAUGAAGAACUAAGAUCACUCACAUCUUCAGCUAACUUCAUGUUUUUGGUGUGAAUCCUGAGAACUUCAAGGCGGCCAACUUCAUCAGGGACUCCAAUGUCAAUCUCACGAUCAAACCUACCAAAUCUUCUGAGAGCAGGAUCAAUACUGUUUGGGCGGUUUGUAGCACCCAUAACAAUAACAUGCGCACGGGACUUAAGCCCAUCCAUAAGGGUCAACAGCUGAGACACAAUACGCCUUUCAACUUCUCCAUUGGUCUUCUCUCUCUUUGGGGCUAUUGAAUCAAUCUCAUCAAUGAAGAUGAUUGAUGGUGCAUUCUUCUCUGCUUCUUCAAAUGCCUUCCUGAGAUUGCUCUCACUUUCUCCUGCUAACUUGGACAUAAUUUCUGGGCCAUUGAUCAGAAAGAAGAAUGCACCCGUCUCAUUGGCAACAGCCCUCGCAAUAAGGGUUUUGCCAGAGCCAGGUGGUCCAAACAGCAAUAUGCCCUUUGGAGGCUUCACACCGAUAGACUUAAAAAGUUGAGGGUGACGCAGUGGGAGUUCAACCAGUUCUCUGAUCUGGGCCAUUUGCUUCCUGACUCCACCAACAUCAUCGUAGCCAACAUCGUCAAGCCUCUCCUCAUCCUCCCUCUUAACAGGCUCACCAUCGCAGAAGAUCUCAGUGUCUGGUGCCACAAUGCAAUACUCUGCCGGGUCAGUCUCUAUAACUUUGAACUCCACACUUCUCAUGCCACCCCUCACAAGGAAAAGGUCUCCCUUUCUCAAAGGACGGUAAGCUUCAAGGAAGUAUGCUGAAAAGCACAAGAUGAAGACAAUAUUAGUGAAAGGUUCUUGGAUGCAACUAAGUAAAGAAAGCAGAUUGUAGACAGUAGAUCAUCCCAACAAAACAAAGGCACACCAAGGAUUCUUAUACAGGUUUAGCAAGUGUGGCAUAAUGUACAGCGAAUUAAUGAAUUGUGAUAAUAGUUCAGUGGAUAGACUUGGGAAAUUAGCAGUUAUUAUAGUCUAAAAAACUGAGGAAGGUAUGUGAGUGUCCAUCAAAAUUAUCACUCCACUCAAAAACAAAGUUGUAAACAGUUUCACUUAAAUAGCUAGGGUAUGACAAUGCUAGGCAAAAAAAAACAUGAGUUUAACUGACUUGGGUCAUUACAGAAAGAGCAGAAAUUUCUGUCAAACAGCUUUACGAUAGAAAAUAAAAGUGAUAGGCCUCACGUUUCAAGAAGGCGUCAAACAAGUUUCCUGUAAUCCCUUCAACUGUGUCAUCAAUAGGAAGUAUGUGAACCCGCUUCCCGUAUUUCACAUCAGGGCAUUGGUGAACAGACACCACAUCACCAAGUCUCACUCUCAAGUUCUUCCUGACGGUUUUGUUCAUUCUGACCUUCGGCUCCUCACAUGUGUCAUCAGCAAGAACAAUGCAGAUGGUGUCCUUCCUCUUUUUACCCUGCAACAUAUACACAAGAUUUCAGCAGACAUGAAUUUAAGGUUGCAUACUUCAAGAAAAUUAAUAAUAUAGUGCCAACACAGAUAAAGGAUACAUAAUUCAGCAAAUAAGUCAAUACGGAACAUCAAUACAAAAAAAAAAUCAUACUAAGUAUCGGCGGUAGCAACACAAUUCAAGUACUAUAUUUUCCAAACAGGAGAAAGGUCAAUUACAUUGUAUUUUGGUAUUGUUAGGUACAUGAGAAAGAUAAGGUUUUAAACUCCCAAGUGCCCACAGUUAUUAACUCCCAUGGGCCUAGGUUAACAAAUCGAAUUGCAUCAGUCAGCCAAAGCUGUCCCGUAAGGCAUACUGAUAUGCAGUUAUCCAAACAUCAAUAAGCAGUGUGGCGUAACAAGAUAAAUUUUUCAUUAGAUUGGUUACUAGGCUAACCAGGAGAGAAGAUAUGCACUGUGGUGCCCCGACCCUUAUAUCCCCACAACAAAUAUGUAUGUAACCCAGAACUCUGUUGAAUCUAGAGACCAAGCUCAGAAUUAAUCACCUUUGCAACACAACAACCUAGCAACCAGAUCCUAAAUAUCCGUGGCCCAAGACUAAAUUGCCACCAACCAGAGCUUACAGGACAGAUUAGAACGACAAAAGCUUAGGUUUUUCCUACAGAUUUGCACUCUAAGCUACUAGCCGGUACCAUGAGCUCACCAAAUCACUCGCGACGAAACCAAAAUCCCUAGAUCGGGACCAAAAUUAACCAACUCAGCACUCAGAUUUCAACCUAAUAAACAGAUGAAUCGCGCAGGAACAGCGCGUACCUUGAGGAGGACGGUGUCGCCGCGGAAGAGCUGGAGCCUCUCCAUGGUGUCGGGGUGGAGGGCGACGACGGAGUUGUCGUCAUUGGUGGCCUCGUCGACCACGAGGCGGUUGGGGGACUUCUUCCGCUCCAGGAUCGCCGUCGAGUAGUCCUUCUUCGCCUUGCUGCGACCAAAUCCGCACACAAAUCAACAAAAGGAAGGCCAGAUCGGAGGACCUGCGGAGGCAGAUCGGGGCGGGAACUUACGGAUCGGCGGAGGAGGAGGGCUCGUCCUGCUGGGGCGGCGGGUUGGGGGUCGCCAUGGCGGGCGGAUCCGGGGGUCGUCGGCGGCGUCGCUAGGUUUCGGCGCCUGCGUGCGUCUCUCUCCGGGUCGCUGGGUGGGCAGCAGGCGAAGUGAUGAGGAGGAAGAGGCAGGGCCAGAGGGGAUUAGUUUAGCUAUAAAGACUCUUUCUUGCGAGAGGGGUUUGGGAUUUCCCCUCCGCGGCCCGGGCUCGGUGCGGGAGUUGUACACGGCCUCCAUGACGCGCGGGCCCGGGAUGGCCGCGGCCCACCGGGCGGAUUCUACAAGGGCUCCGGGUCGGGCCACCUGGAAGACUCUAGAAGGUGGGUAGGUGUGUGUCUAUGGCUUGACCUUAAUAAAUCCUCAAAUUAAAAAAGAAAAGGAAAAAAAGGUGUGUGUAUGGCUCGGGAUGGAAGAUGAUCUCGUAUGUUGUCGACGGGUUUGGUAUCUCGAUUCAGUAGCAAAUAUACCUUCUACCAAGAAGGAGGGAGGUUGUUCAUGGAAUCGAAUCAUUCUCUUUUCAAUAUGGAGUAUGUUGUUUACACACACCGCUCAUAUUUAGUGUUCUUUUUUCAAAAUGAUUUGAAGAUGGCUCACCGCGCCUGUCACGUGGUACUCCACUAGUUUUUGGAGAUUAAACAGCCAUACUAUUUUUUUAAAGAUGGACAUAGUUUAUGCUAAAGCUCCCUUCAUGGGUUUUCUCAGCUCUUCAUGAUCAAGUCGGAAAAACAAACACAUUCACACCAUUCCACCAUCUUCAAUGUACCUAAAUGUGAGAGGAUUAGAGCGGGAUUGGUGGAAUCGUUGAUUGUUGCUGAGCCUUGUGGGCGUAUAUAUAAAGUACAUGUUUUUUUUUGUCGGUGCAACAGACCGGGUCUGUUGUGCUGACUGUGCACAGACACAAGAUCAAGAUUGAAGUACCAGUCCAAGACGGAGUACAAGAAACCAAAAGAUUCGAAAAACCAACAAGCAUAUCAGAGGGGCCAAGGCCAAGCCAGAGAAACAAGACAUCAUCAAGAGAGAGGCCUCCAUUGCCGGGCAGGCGAGCACGGCAAGGGGCGAGGCCACCCCCAGAAGAAGACGACCAAGGCGUCCCGGCAGGGCCUGGCGGGACUUGCGGAGGCCAGAUCACCUUCCCGACCACUCCACCACAACUCACGUCAUCGAUCAAUGCGGUGUCAAGUCGCGGAGUGGUUAAGUGUCAGCCAUUCGCCACAUGGCAGCCACUUUCUACCAAGAGAACCCACAAAUGACACCCGUCCUAUGACGUGUCAAACGAGCAGGCAUGGAGCUGGCAAGAUAGCCUGGUAAGCCUUGUUGGGCAACCAACGACGUGACGUUAAGCAGUGCAUUAAAUAUGCAUUGUCAGCUUGCAGAGUUAGGUAUGAUAACACUAUUUGCUAUCUUAUCAGUGUCUAAUGACUAAUUUGCCACUGUGGUGACCCCUUAACCUAUAAGAGGAGGCUCAUGGCAACGGUUCGAUGGGUUGGAAAGUUGGAUAACUCGCACCCCCGUACGCGUGUAGUCGUUGCCGCCCCGAGGCAACUCUUGUCGGGCAAGUGUACUACGCCCCGCCACCACAUUUUCAUCAUCAAUCCACCAAAGCAAGAGUAGGGUUUUACGCCUCACGGCGGUCCGAACCUGGGUAAAAUUGCCCGUGUGAUCUCUGCCGCGCAGCCCCACGUUGGUCUGCUCUUUGUGCAACGCGACGUCCCCCUGUCGAACCAGCAAGGGGCCGCCCUGGCCCCAUAGGUGGUUGUGGUUUUCCGCGACAUCUUUGGCGCGCCAGGUAGGGGGCUCGCUUGUGCGAACCUGAAGACGUGAGCAGCACGUCACCUUCAUCUCCAUUUGCAUCUUCAACGGCGCCGUCAACCAUGGCGCCCAAGAAGAAACCAGCUUCUUCGGUUCACCCAUCCACCUCGAAGGCUCCGCCGCCCGCGGCCUCCGACGCUGCGGGGGGCACGGAGACGCGCGAGGGCGCGAACGCUGGUGGGGAUGUGGUCGGAGCGGGCGCCACCGCCACCCCUUCCCCCGCGGCCGACGCAGGAGCAGGACCGGAGGAGAGCAGCAUCAGCAACACCUCGACGUCCAUGCUCCGCUCGCCGACUAGCACAGUCCCGGUGAUGGCACUCGGUCUGGGCAAACCGCCGCCCUCCGGCCGCCCCUAUCACAGGCGCAACCGCUACGUGUGCACUUUCCCCCAGACGAGUCGACCAACCCGCUGCGCCCAACGAAGUCACUGGCCCUCGAGCGCCUCCGCCUCACCACCCUGCCAUCCAGGUGGUUGCACCGCAACAGCGGGGGCGCAGUGCUACCGCCGCUGGCUCCGUCCUGAGCUAAGCGACAGCGCGAUCGACUUCAUCAUCAUCUAUGCCAAGCAGAGCCUUAGAGGCCAUGGCGUGGGCUCAGCUGCUACUGAGGUUUUCGCCUGCAGCGAGCAGGUGAACGAGUGACGUGCCACCAUCCAAAGUCUGCUCGGUUUCGUCGAAGCCGAAGGAUCACGGCGAGCUGGCCCCACCACGGCCUCCCCAAGCAACGGCGAUGGCUCAUGUUGUUGCCCGUACGGAGGGAGCCAUCCCCACGGUGCAGUCCCCGCCAUGGCAGACAGCACGAGCGCGACCAAAUCAAGACCCCAACGACGUCUCGAUGGCCUCCUCUGACCCUCGAGCAUGCCCAGGCCAACGACGAACCCCGAAAGAUAGGCGGAGAGGAGACAUGUGCGUCGUCGACCAGCGCCACGGCGACCUCCUCCGAGCCGAUGGGCACGAUGGCCCCGACGUUGACGAGCCCGCGCUCGGUGUUGGUGGGCCCCUACCCUUCAAGGUUGGCUGCCCUGCCUUCACCGUGAGCUGCGGCAAGUCCGUUUGUCGUCCAUUCGCACGUUCAAGCCAGAGAUACCUGAGAAGUACAACGGGAGGCUGAACCCGACAGAGUUCCUGAGCAUCUACACCAUCGUUGUUCAAGCUGUCGGGGGGGAGAGAUGAGAAGGUGUUCGUCAACUACUUCCCUUUGGCCCUCAAGUCUAAUGUGAGUUCUUGGCUGAUGCACCUGCUGGAGAACUCUAUUUCUUCGUGGGCAGACCUGUGCCAUGAGUUCAUCAGUGCCUUCACCGGUGGCCACCAGGAGCCGGGCCGACCCAGCGAUCUGGAACUUCUCCAACAGAAGGAAGGAGAAACCCUUCGUAAGUAUUUACGGAGAUUCAGCAAAGUUCAUAGAAAUAUUCCAAAUAUCCAUCCGGCAGCUAUGAUAGCUGCCUUCCAGUCCAAUGUGCGAAACAUCGGAUCCGUUCCAAGAUGAAUGUGUGGUUACCCAAGACUGUGAAGGAGUUGUACACCCUAGUGGAUAAGUGUGCCCGGAUGGAGGAGGGAAGGAAGUUGCCCGGAGAGGAAGAUUGCAUCAAUGUUGAUUCAGAAGACGAUGAUGAAUCGACCAGUCAGAAGAAGAGCAAGAAACGCGGUAAGAAGCAGAGGGAUAAGGCAGUGUUGACUGUUGAAGGAUCAGGCACCCCUAGUACCGGCAAGAUCGCCAAGGCUGAGGUCCCCGACAAGGAGACUACAGUGUGCGCUGAUUGCCAGGAAGCUACGGCUGCCGAGAAGGCCAGGAAGGGCGAUGGGCCAUACUGCAAGAUUCAUCGGACCAAGGGCCACGACCUCCAAGAAUGCUAUCAGGUUGAGCAGUUAGUCAAGAGACAGAGAGCAGAGUACGAGAAGCGUGAUAAGGAAAAGGGUCAGAAUGUCGCUGGCGGUAAGGGCCGAGGUGGUGAAGCAAAUCGCCCCGGCAAACCCUUUCGGAGUAAAGGAAAACCCGCCAGGGCCAGGAGAAAGAAGCUUGUGAUGACGAGAGUGAUAGAGGGGGUCAAGAGGAAACCAAUGAGCAAGAGUUUCAGAAGGCCACUGACGCCCUGUGCAUUGACGGUGCAUCUCUGCACACCUCUCACCGCUAGCUCAAGCAGUGGGCACGAGAAGUCCAUGCCAUGGAACCAGCGCCAGAGGCCCGGAAGCCGCUCAAAUGGUCCCGUACACCCAUCAUCUUUGACAAAGAGGAUCAUCCUAGCCGUACCACUUCGGUAGGGUGCCUGCCAUUGUUGGUUUCUCCAACAAUUCGCAACCUCAAGGUCACGGAGAUGCUGGUGGAUGGUGGGGCCGGACUGAAUCUGAUUUCCCUAGCAGUUAUCAACAAGCUUCAGAUAGCAGAGGAAGAACUAGAGGUUACUGGCACGUUUCAAGGAAUUAAUCCCGGCAAGAGUCGUCCUAAGGGAAAGAUCACGUUGCCGGAAACAUUUGGGGGAGAACUGAACUACCAGACUAAGAAGAUUGUGUUUGAUGUGGUUGAUCUCCCCCUGCCGUAUAAUGGGAUUCUUGGACACCCGGCUCUGGCUAAAUUCAUGGCGGCAUCCCACUAUGCUACAACACCCUGAAGAUGCCUGGGCUCUAGGAGUUCUCACCAUCCCAUCAGAUGAGAAAGAUGCCAUUAUUUGUGUGGACAAGAUGUACCAGGACGCGGUCGCGGCAGAGGCAGCGAUGACAGGAGUUCUCGCCAAGGAAAGCAAAGGAAAGAAGAAGGAUUGUAGGACCUUCGACAAAGAGUUUGGGAAGCGUGCCCCCCCACCAAGUGCACGACACCCGGUUGACGACGUGUCGGAGUGCUCCCACAACAAGAGAUCCAAAUUUGCUGCUCCACAAGUGAAAAAGGUCCCGACAGGGCUGGCUGGCGUUGAUGGUACUUUCACUAUCUGCGCCACCCUCCAUGACAAAUAGGAAAGCGCGCUCGUUGCCUUCCUGCGGGCGAAUAUCAAUGUGUUUGCAUGGCAACCACCUGAUAUCCCCGGUGUUCCCAGUGAGGUAAUAGAGCACCACCUUGUUGUCUGCCCACACGCCAGACCUGUUAAACAGAAAGUCCAGAAGCAGGCCUUGGAGAGGCAGCAGUUUAUUGCAGAAGAGAUCAAGAAGCUUGAGGCGGAUGGUUUGGUCAGAGGAGUGCUACAUUUUAGCGAACGUAGUAAUUUCAAAAAAAUUCCUACGCACACGCAAGAUCAUGGUGAUGCAUAGAAACAAGAGGGGAGAGUGUAUCCACGUACCCUCGUAGACCAAAAGCGGAAGCGUUAGCACAACGCAGUUGAUGUAGUCGUACGUCUUCACGGCCCGACCGAUCAAGCACCAAAUGCACGACACCUCUGAGUUCUUGCACACGUUUAGCUCGAUGACAUCCCUCGAACUCCGAUCCAGCCGAGUGUCGACGGAGAGUUCCGUCAACACGACGGCGUGGUGACGAUGAUGAUGUUCUACCGAUGCAGGGCUUCACCUAAGCACCGCUACGAUAUUAUCGAGGUGGAUUAUGGUGGAGGGGGGCACCGCACACAACUAAGAGAUCAAUUAUCAAUUGGUGUGUCUAGAGGUGCCCCCUGCCCCCGUAUAUAAAGGUUCAAGGGGGAGGGGGCGGCCGACCAGGAGGAGGGUGCGCCAAGGGGAGUCCUACUCCCACUGGGAGUAGGACUCCCUCCUUUCCUUGUCCAAGUAGGAGAGGCGGAAGGAAGGGAGAGAGGGGAAGAAGGAAAGGGGGGCGCCCCCCCCUCCUUGUCCAAUUCGGACUAGAGGGGGAGGGGGCGCACGGCCUGCCCUGGCCGCCCCUCCUCUUCUCCACUUUGGGCCCAAGUGGCCCAUUAACCCCCCAGGGGGUUCCGGUAACCCCCCGGCACUCCGGUAUAUAUCCGAUAACCUCCGAAACUUAUUCUGGUGUCCGAAUAUAGUCGUCCAAUAUACCAAUCUUCAUGUCUCGACCAUUUCAAGACUCCUCCUUAUGUACGUGAUUACAUCCGGGACUCCGAACUACCUUCGGUACAUCAAAACAUAUAAACUCAUAAUGUAACUGUCAUCUAACUUUAAGCGUGCGGACCCUAUGGGUUCGAGAACAAUGUAGACAUGACCGAAACACGUUUCUGGUAAAUAAACAAUAGCGGAACCUGGAUGCUCAUAUUGGCUCCCACAUAUUCUACGAAGAUCUUUAUCGGUCAAACCGCAUAACAACAUACGUUGUUCCCUUUGUCAUCGGUAUGUUACUUGCCCGAGAUUCGAUCGUCGAUAUCUCAAUACCUAGUUCAAUCUAGUUACCGGCAAGUCUCUUUACUCGUUAUGUAAUACAUCAUCUUGCAACUAACUCAUUAGUCACAUUGCUUGCAAGGCUUAUAGUGAUGUGUAUUACCGAGAGGGCCCAGAGAUACCUCUCCGACAAUCGGAGUGACAGAUCCUAAUCUCGAAAUACGCCAAUCCAACAAGUAUCUUCAGAGACACCUGUAGAGCACCUUUAUAAUCACCCAGUUACGUUGUGACGUUUGGUGUCACACAAAGUGUUCCUCCGAUAAACGGGAGUUGCAUAAUCUCAUAGUCACAGGAACAUGUAUAAGUCAUGAAGAAAGCAGUAGCAACAUACUAAACGAUCAAGUGCUAAGCUAAUGGAAUGGGUCAAGUCAAUCACAUCAUUCUCUUAAUGAUGUGAUCCCGUUAAUCAAAUGACAACUCUUUUUUCCAUGGCUAGGAAACAUAACCAUCUUUGAUAAACGAGCUAGUCAAGUAGAGGCAUACUAGUGACACUUAGUUUGUCUAUGUAUUCACACAUGUAUUAUGUUUCCAGUUAAUACAAUUCUAGCAUGAAUAAUAAACAUUUAUCAUGAUGUAAGGAAAUAAAUAAUAACUUUAUUUAUUGCCUCUAGGCCAUAUUUCCAUCAGUCUCCCACUUGCACUAGAGUCAAUAAUCUAGAUUACACAGUAAUGAUUCUAACACCCAUGGAGCCUUGGUGUUGAUCAUGUUUUGCUCGUGGAAGAGGCUUAGUCAACGGGUCUGCAACAUUCAGAUCUGUAUGUAUCUUGAAAACCUCUAUGUCUCCCACCUGGACUUGGUCUCGGAUGGAAUUGAAGCGUCUCUUGAUGUGUUUGGUCUUCUUGUGAUAUCUGGAUUCCUUUGCCAAGGCAAUUGCACCAGUAUUGUCACAGAAGAUUUUCAUUGGACCCGAUGCACUAGGUAUGACACCUAGAUCGGAUAUGAACUCCUUCAUCCAGACUCCUUCAUUUGCUGCUUCUGAAGCAGCUAUGUACUCCGCUUCACAUGUAGAUCCCGCCACGACGCUUUGUUUAGAACUGCACCAACUGACAGCUCCACCGUUCAAUAUAAACACAUAUCCGGUUUGUGAUUUAGAAUCGUUUGGAUCAGUGUCAAAGCUUCCAUCAACGUAACCAUUUACGACUAGCUCUUUGUCACCUCCAUAAGCGAGAAACAUAUCCUUAGUCCUUUUCAGGUAUUUCAGGAUAUUCUUGACCGCUGUCCAGUGAUCCACUCCUGGAUUACUUUGGUACCUUCCUACCAAACUUAUUGCUAAGCAUACAUCAGGUCUGGUACACAGCAUUGCAUACAUGAUAGAGCCUAUGGCUGAAGCAUAGGGAACAUCUUUCAUUUUCUCUCUAUCUUCUGCUGUGGUCGGGCAUUGAGUCUGACUCAACUUCACACCUUGUAUUACACGCAAGAACCCUUUCUUUGCUUGAUCCAUUUUGAACUUUUUCAAAACUUUAUCAAGGUAUGUACUCUGUGAAAGUCCAAUCAAGCGUCUUGAUCUAUCUCUAUAGAUCUUGAUGCCCAAUAUGUAAGCAGCUUCGCCGAGGUCUUUCAUUGAAAAACUUUUAUUCAAGUAUCCUUUUAUGCUAUCCAGAAAUUCUAUAUCAUUUCCAAUCAAUAAUAUGUCGUCUACAUAUAAUAUUAGAAAUGCUACAGAGCUCCCACUCACUUUCUUGUAAAUACAGGCUUCUCCAAAAGUCUGUAUAAAACCAUGUGCUUUGAUUACACUAUCAAAGCGUUUAUUCCAACUCCGAGAGGCUUGCACCAGUCCAUAAAUGGAUCGCUGGAGCUUGCACACUUUGUUAGCAUCCUUUGGAUCGAAAAAACCUUCUGGUUGCAUCAUAUACAACUCUUCUUCCAGAAAUCCAUUCAGGAAUGUAGUUUUUACAUCCAUUUGCAAAAUUUCAUAAUCAUAAAAUGCGACAAUUGCUAACAUGAUUCGGACAGACUUAAGCAUCGCUACGGGUGAGAAAGUCUCAUCAUAGUCAACCCCUUGAACUUGUCGAAAACCUUUCGCAACAAGUCGAGCUUUAUUGAUAGUAACAUUACCAUCAGCGUCAGUCUUCUCCUUGAAGAUCCAUUUAUUCUCAAUGGCCUGCCGAUCAUCGGGUAAGUCAACCAAAGUCCACACUUUGUUCUCAUACAUGGAUCCCAUCUCAGAUUUCAUGGCCUCAAGCCAUUUUGCGGAAUCUGGGCUCAUCAUCGCUUCCUCAUAGUUCGUAGGCUCGCCAUGGUCAAGUAACAUGACUUCCAGUAUAGGAUUGUCGUACCACUCUGGUGCGGGUCUUACUCUGGUUGACCUACGAGGUUCGGUAGUAACUUGAUCUAAAGUUUCAUGAUCAAUAUCAUUAGCUUCCUCACUAAUUGGUAUAGUUGUCACAUGAACCGGUUUGUGUGAUGAACUAUUUUCCAAUAAGGGAGCAGGUACAGUUACCUCAUCAAGUUCUACUUUCCUCCCACUCACUUCUUUCGAGAGAAACUCCUUCUCUAGAAAGGAUCCAUUCUUAGCACGAAUGUCUUGCCUUCGGAUCUGUGAUAUAAGGUGUACCCAACAGUCUCCUUUGGGUAUCCUAUGAAGACACAUUUCUCCGAUUUGGGUUCAAGCUUAUCAGGUUGAAGUUUUUUCACAUAAGCAUCGCAGCCCCAAACUUUAAGAAACGACAACUUUGGUUUCUUGCCAAACCAUAGUUCAUAAGGCGUCGUCUUAACGGAUUUCGAUGGUGCCCUAUUUAACGUGAAUGCAGUUGUCUCUAAAGCAUAACCCCAAAAUGAUAGCGGUAAAUCAGUAAGGGACAUCAUAGAUCGUACCAUAUCUAGUAACGUGCAAUUACGACAUUCGGACACACCAUUACAUUGUGGUGUUCCGGGUGGUGUGAGUUGCGAAACUAUUCCGCAUUGUUUCAAAUGUAAACCAAACUCAUAACUCAAAUAUUCUCCUCCACGAUCAGAUCGUAGAAACUUUAUUUUAUUGUUACGAUGAUUUCAACUUCACUCUGAAAUUCUUUGAACUUUUCAAAUGUUUCAGAUUUAUGUUUCAUUAAGUAGAUAUACCCAUAUCUGCUUAAAUCAUCUGUGAAGGUGAGAAAAUAACGAUACCUGCCGCGAGAUUCAAUAUUCAUUGGACCACAUACAUCAGUAUGUAUGAUUUCCAACAAAUCAGUUGCUCGCUCCAUAGUUCUGGAGAACGACGUUUCAGUCAUCUUGCCCAUGAGGCAUGGUUCACAAGUACCAAGUGAUUCAUAAUGAAGUGAUUCCAAAAGUCCAUCAGUAUGGAGUUUCUUCAUGCACUUUACACCAAUAUGACCUAAACAACAGUGCCAUAAAUAAGUUGCACUAUCAUUAUCAACUCUGCAUCUUUUGGUUUCAACAUUAUGAAUAUGUGUAUCACUACUAUCGAGAUUCAUCAAAAAUAGACCACUCUUUAAGGGUGCAUGACCAUAAAAGAUAUUACUCAUAUAAAUAGAACAACCAUUAUUCUUAGAUUUAAAUGAAUAACCGUCUCGCAUCAAACAAGAUCCAGAUAUAAUGUUCAUGCUCAACGUUGGCACCAAAUAACAAUUAUUUAGGUCUAAAACUAAUCCCGAAGGUAGAUGUAGAGGUAGAGUGCCGACGGCGAUCACAUCAACUUUGGAACCAUUUCCCACGCGCAUCGUCACCUCGUCCUUAGCCGGUGUCCGCUUAAUCCGUAGUCCCUGUUUUGAGUUGCAAAUAUUAGCAACAGAACCAGUAUCAAAUACCCAGGUGCUACUGCGAGCUCUGGUAAGGUACACAUCAAUAACAUGUAUAUCACAUAUACCUUUGUUCACCUUGCCAUCCUUCUUAUCCGCCAAAUACUUGGGGCAGUUCCGCUUCCAGUGACUAGUCUGUUUGUAGUAGAAGCACUCAAUCUCAGGCUUAGGUCCAGACUUGGGUUUCUUCUCUUGAGCAGCAACUUGUUUGUCGUUCUUUUUGAAGUUCCCCUUCUUCUUCCCUUUACCCUUUUUCUUGAAACUGGUGGUCUUGUUGACCAUCAACACUUGAUGCUCCUUUUUUAUUUCUACCUCCGCAGCCUUUAGCAUUGCGAAGAGCUCGGGAAUAGUCUUGUUCAUCCCUUGCAUAUUAUACUUCAUCACAAAGCUCUUGUAGCUUGGUGGCGGUGAUUGAAGAAUUCUGUCAAUGACACUAUCAUCAGGAAGAUUAACUCCCAAUUGAAUCAAGUGAUUAUUAUACCCAGACAUUUUGAGUAUAUGUUCAUUGACAGAACUAUUCUCUUCCAUCUUGCAGCUAUAGAACUUAUUGGAGACUUCAUAUCUCUCAAUCCGGGUAUUUGCUUGAAAUAUCAACUUCAACUCCUGGAACAUCUCAUAUGCUCCAUGACAUUCAAAACGUUGUUGAAGUCCCAGUUCUAAGCCGUAAAGCAUGGCACACUGAACUAUCGAGUAGUCAUCAGCUUUGCUCUGCCAAACGUUCACAACGUCCGCAGUUGUAUCUGCAGCAGGUCUGGCACCCAGCGGUGCUUCCAGGACGUAAUUCUUCUAUGCAGCAAUGAGGAUAAUCCUCAAGUUACGGACCCAGUCCGUGUAAUUGCUACCAUCAUCUUCAACUUUGCUUUCUCAAGGAACGCAUUAAAAUUCAACGGAACAACAGCACGAGCCAUUGAUAACCCACAAGUAUAGGGAUCGCAACAGUUUUUGAGGGGAGAGUAUUCAACCCAAAUUUAUUGAUUCGACACAAGGGGAGCCAAAGAAUAUUCUCAAGUAUUAGCAGCUGAGUUGUCAAUUCAACCACACCCGGAAACUUAGUAUCUGCAGCAAAUUGUUUAGUAGCAAAGUAAUAUGAUAGUGGUGGUAACGGUAACAAAAGUAAAGACAGCAAAAGUAAUGUUUUUGGUAUUUUGUAGUGAUUGUAACGGUAACAAUAGAAAAGUAAAUAAGCGAGAACCAGUAUAUGGAAAACUCGUAGGCACCGGAUCAGUGAUGGAUAAUUAUGCCGGAUGUGGUUCAUCAUGUAACAGUCAUAACAUAGGGUGACACAGAACUAGCUCCAGUUCAUCAAUGUAAUGUAGGCAUGUAUUCCGAAUAUAGUCAUACGUGCUUAUGGAAAAGAACUUGCAUGACAUCUUUUGUCCUACCCUCCCGUGGCAGCGGGAUCCUAUUGGAAACUACGGGAUAUUAAGGCCUCCUUUUAAUAGAGAACCGAAACAAAGCAUUAGCACAUAGUGAAUACAUGAACUCCUCAAACUAUGGUCAUCACCGUGAGUGGUUCCGAUUGUUGUCACUUCGGGGUUGCCGGAUCAUAACACAUAGUAGGUGACUAUAGACUUGCAAGAUAGGAUCAAGAACUCACAUAUAUUCAUGAACAUAAUAGGUUCAGAUCUAAAAUCAUGGCACUCGGGCCCUAGUGACAAGCAUUAAGCAUAGCAAAGUCAUAGCAACAUCAAUCUCAGAACAUAGUGGAUACUAGGGAUCAAACCCUAACAAAACUAACUCGAUUACAUGAUAAAUCUCAUCCAACCCAUCACCGUCCAGCAAGCCUACGAUGGAAUUACUCACGCACGGCGGUGAGCAUCAUGAAAUUGGUGAUGGAGGAUGGUUGAUGAUGACAACAGCGACGAAUCCCCCUCUCCGGAGCCCCGAACGGACUCCAGAUCAGCCCUCCCGAGAGAGAUUAGGGCUUGGCGGCGGCUCCGUAUCGUAAAAUGCGAUGAUUUCUUCUGUCAGAUUUUUUUCUCCCCGAAAGCCAAUAUAUGGAGUUGGAGUUGGCGUCAGAGGGCCACCAGGGGGCCCACGAGGUAGGGGGGCACGCCCAGGGGGUGCCCCCACCCUCGUGGACAGGGUGUGGGCCCCCUGGUCUUCAUCUUUGGCAAGGAUUUUUUAUUAUUUAUUCUAAGAUAUUCCAUGGAGUUUCAGGUCAUUCCGAGAACUUUUAUUUUCUGCACAUAAAACAACACCAUGGCAAUUCUGCUGAAAACAACGUCAGUCCGGGUUAGUUCCAUUCAAAUCAUACAAGUUAGAGUCCAAAACAAGGGCAAAAGUGUUUGGAAAAGUAGAUACGACGGAGACGUAUCAACUCCCCCAAGCUUAAACCCUUGCUUGUCCUCAAGCAAUUCAGUUGACAGACUGAAAGAAAAAAAGAAAAACUUUUACAAACUCCGUUUGCUCUUGUUGUUGUAACAUGAAGAGCGAGCAUUCAAGUUUCAGCAAAUAUUAUGAAUUAACCAUACUAACACUAACACAAAGGUCUCACAAUUACUCAUAUCAAUAACAUAAUCAGCUAGCAAGCCAUAAUAAUAAAACUCGGAUGACAACACUUUCUCAAAAUAAUCAUAACAUGAUAUAACAAAAUGGUAUCUCGCUAUCCCUUUCUGAGACCGCAAAACAUAAAUGCAUAGCACCUUCAAAGAUCAAGGACUGACUAAACAUUGUAAUUCAUGGUAAAAGAGAUCCAGUCAAGUCAUACCCAAUAUAAACCAAAUUAUAAUGAAUGCAAACAAUAGUGUGCUCUCCAGCGGGUGCUUUUUUAAUAAGAAGGAUGAUGACUCAACAUAAAAGUAAAUAGAUAGGCCCUUCGCAGAGGGAAGCGGGGAUUUAUAGAGGUGCCAGAGCUCGGUUUUUAAAAUAGAGAUUGAAUAACAUUUUGAGUGGUAUACUUUUGCUAUCAACGCAACAACUAUGAGAUGAUGAUAUCUUCCAUGCUAAACAAAUUAUAGGCGGUUCCCAAACAGAAUGGUAAAGUUUAUACUCCCCCUCCUCCACAAGCAUCAAUCCAUGGCUUGCUCGAAACAACGAGUGCCUCCAACAUUCAACGGGUCCCAAGGGGAGUUUUGUUUGCAAUUAUUUUGAUUUAGUUUGCAUAAAGCAUGGGACUGGGCAUCCCGGAGACCAGCCAUUUUCUCGUGAAUGAGGAGUGGAGUCCACUCCUCUUGAGAAUAACCGCCUAACAUGGAAGAUAAGGGCAGCCCUAGUUGAGACAUGAGCUGCUCGAGCAUACAAAACAGAAUUUCAUUUGAAGAUUUGGAGUUUGGCACAUACAAAUUUACUUGGAACGGCAGGUAAAUACCGCAUAUAGGUAGGUAUAGUGGACUCAUAUGGAACAACUUUGGGGUUUAAGGAGUUUGGAUGCACAAGCAGUAUUCCCGCUUAGUACAUGUGAAGGCUAGCAAAAGACUGGGAAGCGACCAGCUGGGAGAGCGACAACAGUCGUAAAUAUGUAUUAAAAUUAAUUUACAAUGAAUACAAGCAUGAGUAGGAUAUAAUCUACCAUGAACAUAAAUAUCAUGAAGGCUAUGUUGAUUUGAUUCAACUACAUGCGUGAACAUGUGCCAAGUCUAGUCACUCAAUUCAUUUAAAGGAGGAUACCACCCCAUCAUACCACAUCAUAAUCAUUCUAAUAGCAUGUUGGCACGCAAGGUAAACCAUUAUAACUCAUAGCUAAUCAAGCAUGGCACAAGCAACUAUA